rnacentral:sRNA from 1 species
UCAACGUGCACCCUUCACAACUCGUUGAGUGCAUGGCGUAAAAUUAUUAUUUUUGAGAUGGUUUUCUGUAAGAAUAUGUAUCAUAUAAAAAUCGACAUUACGUAUCUUAAUGAGAAGAACAUUUUGAUAGCAAUUAUAUUUGCAGAAACAUUUUUCAAUUAUGAAAUAUUUAGCAGAACAUUAAGAAUUGCAUCUUAUCUAUGAAUCUUUAUUGUGACAUUUUGAACCCCAUUUUUGUUGAACAAGGAAAAAGGACACGGAAAUAGAAGUUCGAUCAAUAGUUUGCAUAUUACGAUGUUUUUGUUGUAACUCGGUGCAGACAGAGAGAGUGUGUGAAGGAGAGAAUUAGGACUGUGUAAGCCAUGCAUGGUUGAUGUUUCAUACUCUUGUGGUUUUGUCGUGUUUGGUUGUUGAACAUUAUAAUUAAAAUUCUUCAAUUGUUUGUCACUGUGCUUUUACACAUGUCAAAAGAUGUC